UUAUAUAAUACUUAUACCUUAAAUAUGUAUUAUGUAAGUAUCAGAAAGCAGUGCUGCCUCGAUUUGGAGUCUCUUUUACAAAAUGCUAGAGUAAUUUAGGCACGAGUACUACAGAUAAAUUUAAUUGAGGGAAAACUGGAUCGGCCUACAGCGAAUCUACUCACAAUAAAAUAACUAUGACGGUACACUAAGCUAUAGACCAUUAACAUACGGGACCCUAACCGCUAUAUACCAAGAAACAUAUGCAUAUCACACGCAUACACAACUCCAUUAAAAUAUCGUUAACCGAAGAUCUUGAAGGCUGCCGAUACACGCUACACGUUAUGUCAUCCAAAAGUUACGUGUAAUCAUUACAAUCAAAUGAAUUCCACAUCUUAGAGCCCAAGGUUAGGAACAGAAAUACAUAAUAAUAUGACCAUCAUCAAUAGCUCAUGGACAAAUGACGCUGCUGUUGUACUAUCGCUACAAAAUAAUUAUGUUAUCCAGCCGUUUUGGAUACAGCGACUGCUUCAACUCCGACGUUCAUGUGCUCGCAUGUGUAUAUAUGUUUAUAUAGCCAAUCUUAUGGGAAAAGAUCCUCGCAUAUAGCGGGCAUGUGAACACACGAUUUAAAAUAUAUAAUUGAUCACUGCAGGUGGUCGAGCUUUCAAUUCAAAUCUACGAUAUCGUCUACUCUAGUUUCCAACUAGUCAAAUCAGUUACUUUUUACUAAACAUCAAAACACGAAAUUACAAUGGAAUUUGUAUGAAAAAGCACACUGUGACGUCAUAGAAAAAUGUCAUAAAAUAUCAAGACUUAUUAUUACGUUUUUCUAGAUAAAAAUUCAUAAAAAAUUCGUGAUUAUUGAAUCAAGUAGUUUCUAAAAUUUGUGCCCGGUUAACGGCAAUGGGCUCGCCCCCAUGGGACUUAAACAGAAGUGGGUGUAUAUACUAUACACCUCUGCCUACUCCUUUGAGGAUACAGGCGUGAUGCUAUGCCGCAAGCACAAGAUCACGCCUAUUUCCCGUCGGGGUAGGUAGAAUCCCACUUACUACCACGGAAUUCCACUUACUACGAUCCUAACACACCACUUUCGCUUCUUCAACUCUCAUCAAAGACUUCAUGCAUGCUGUUUGUUGUUUGUUUUUGUUCCCUCAUUCAGCGCUUAUCGCUAUCGACCCACUAGGGUCGAUUAAUUCUUUCAAAUAUUUUUCCUCUCAAACGACGCCCUGAGCCGAGAGUCGCGACCAACUGGGCACCCUCAGGCCUGUUGUCUUAAACGUUGUGCCGGGUGAGAGCCUUCAGCGUUCUCCAUUUGUCCGGCCAAGUAAUUAAUGCCAUCUGUGGCAAAUCUACAAGUCACGUCAAAAAAAAAAUGUUUUUUUUUUAUUGUGUUCAUGUUUGAUGUGUUUUUGUUGUUUUUAUUUAUUUAUUUUUUUAGGGAAAUUUACAGCAAAAUUACACAAAAUAUACACAACUCUAAGAAGCUACAUGCCAACAAAAAAUUUCCACAUAUAUGAGUGUAAACAGUUAACUACAUACUAAAAAACGUAAACCGUUUUUAACGGGACAAGUCCGAUAACAGCAGCAUUAAUAAAUAAUAGAAGAAACGAAAUAAUAAACGUCAGCCUUAGCAGCGUAGAGCAUUUUGGAUAGUUGAGGAAUCGAACCCGGGACCUCCGGAUCGUGAGCCCCGCAGUGAGAGUCAAGCGUUCUUCCAACUGUGCUACUACGGCUUUUGGAGGUGAUUCAGACCAACAUUCUAACAUUUAAUUGUAACUUGUCAGGUGUUCAACAUGUCUACGGCCACGACCAUUAAUAUGUAUACACUUUGGUACCAUAUCUCAUUAACUUUUUUGGCAAAUUGAACUGUAAGUCUCACUAAAUGUCAAAUAUGUUAGUGCGACAGAGUCCUAAAGUUGGUACAUUAUAUUGCUUAUGACUGUACACUCAACUUGUGACGUCACAGUUAUAAAUCAUGUGAACAUCUCGGUGUUAUGUGGGCUAAGCAUAGUAAAAACUUGCGGUUGUGCCCUGAAUAACUAUUACUACAGCUUUCAUUUCGUUUUUUGCAGUAUGAUGUAAAAGGUCUUGGAAAUGUAAGUAAGUAUAUUAUGUUGCGAAAAUAAAUCAUGAGAUGAUGCUACUGCUUU
rnacentral:lncRNA from 1 species